UCUCCGUAGGUGAACCUGCGGAGGGAUCAUUACUGAGUGAGGGCCUUCGGGCUCGACCUCCAACCCUUUGUGAACACAACUUGUUGCUUCGGGGGCGACCCUGCCGUUUCGAUGGCGAGCGCCCCCGGAGGCCUUCGAACACUGCAUCUCUGCGUCGGAGUUUGAAACAAAUUAAACAAAACUUUCAACAACGGAUCUCUUGGUUCGGGCAUCGAUGAAGAACGCAGC
rnacentral:misc_RNA from 1 species